UAAUCUGAUAUUUUGUUUAUCUUUAAAAAUGUUUAUGUUUGAAAAAUAGUAUUUUACUUACUCAGCUAUUUUAUAACCUAUAACGAACAAUGCAUUUAAUUAUCAUAAACUAUCCUGUUAUUAUCGAUAUUAAUGCAAUUUUAAUUUUUUUCCAUUUUAUCUAAGUUUUUUCACUUAUAUAUUCCACAAAAAUAAAAACUUAAUUAUAGAUUAGGUAUGAUGUCCAAUACUCUAUUUUAACUAGGUGUGUGUUAAAUUGCAAAAAUAUGCAGCAGGAGAAGCAUAAAAACGGAUCCAUUCAGAAUGGUUUUCAUACUGAUAAGUUUGAAACAUCCAAGCCUUCAUGGAGGGAUAAAAUGUGCCAUGCUCACAGUGUUAGAACUCCAAAUAAGCCUUACAAAGAACCAGGUCCUAUGGGAGAAUCUGAAAAAGGGCUACGGAUGAUGCAAUCAAUGGGCUACAAAGAGGGUUCAGGGUUAGGCAAACAUAGUCAAGGCAUUACAGAAGCAAUCGAAGUAAAUGCAAAUUUAGGCAAACGAGGACUCGGUCUGAAAAUUAAAGGCUUAGAUAAAACAUCAGAGACUUGGGAUUUUGAUCAAGAAACCAUUGUAGUCGAAGAAAAGAUAAAAUGGCUUAAAAUUAAUAGUGAAGAUAUCCCAAAUUUUCAAAAAGAGAAUUUUGAAGGUUGGAUCAAAGAGGAUGUUCCUAAUCAUAAUGUCAUAGAAAAUGACUACUUUUGUGAAAGUGAUAUUAUAAAAGAAGUUUUUAAGGCAAAGGGUAUUUUUGAUGAGAUCGACUUGAAUGAGUUAUACAAAGCAAGGGCAAGGGCAAAUCCUUAUGAGACCAUUAAGUCGGUGUUUUUUAUGAACAGAGCAGCACUUAAAAUGGCUAACAUAGAUGCAGCCUGUGAUUUUAUGUUUACUACUAUGGAAAAAAAUGAAGCUUUUGGCUCAGACGAGCCUCCAAUUUUUUUUGCAGAUGUGUGUGCUGGGCCUGGCGGAUUCACGGAGUAUAUUUUAUGGAGGAAAAAAUGGCUCUAUAAGGGUUUUGGUUUAACUCUAAAAGGCGAAAAUGAUUUUAAAGUUUCAAACUCUUCAUGUGCCUCAGGAGUAACUUUUCAACCUUUAUAUGGUAAAGACGGCACUGGAAAUGUAUGUAACCCAGAAAAUUUAAGAAAUUUUAUAGAAAAGGUUAAACAUGAGUCAGAGGGCAAAGGGCUGCAUUUUAUGAUGUCAGAUGGGGGUUUCUGCGUGGAGAAGCAAGAAAACUUACAAGAAAUAUUGUCAAAGAAUAUUUACUUAUGUCAAUGUUUGCUGGCUCCGAAUGUACUUAGAGAACACGGCUGUUUUGUGACGAAACUUUUUGAUUUAUUCACACCGUUUAGCGUCGGGCUACUAUACCUUGUGCAUUUAUGUUUCGAGAAAGUUGGGAUAAUAAAACCAAAUUCGUCUCGACCUGCGAAUUCUGAAAGGUAUUUUGUCUGUAGUAAUUUAAGAUUUACUCAUCAAACGAGCAUUAUAAAAGAUUAUCUUUGGACAGUAGCAGAGAAGCUGUGGGAAAUGCGCAAUAUGCCCAAUAUAGAUAUAUUAGAAUUAGUACCCAUUGAGGUAAUCCAGAAGGAUAAGAGAUUUUUCGAUUAUAUUUUUGAAAGUAAUAAAAGUUUAGCAAAGAAACAAAUCAUAGCACUAAAAAAGUUGACGUUGUUUUGUCGAAACCCCUCAUUAAUAGAAACGAGGCAAGAUCUUUUACGCAGCGCGUGUCUUCAAUAUUGGGUCAUUCCGGAUAGCAGGAAAAAAUCAGAUGAAAUUGACACACCCCGUAGGAUAGUGACUAAAGUUAGAGGAUUAAAAUACGAUGAAUUUAAUUCUAAACCUAGAAAGAUUCUUGAUUAUGAUGGCCUUGAUAUAAUAACUUGUGUAAGUGAGUGGCAAUAUUGCUAUAUGUACAGCACACCAGAAGUAAAAGAAGCCACAUUCUUCGCUGGAACGGAUUCUGCCAAAUCGUUUUACUACAAGACCGGCAGCUGGGAGAAAAUAAAUUAUUUAGCUUUGGCUAAAGAUACUUNNCUGUACGGAGAAAUUGUGCCAGAAAAAUCUACGUUACAAAAUGGCGAAGUAAUUUUUAGGGAUAGUCUACAUGUAAUAGACGCCCUACGUUUGGGUUCUAUGAACCUAGAAAAAUAUUCUUUUGCUGAGAGGCAAAAGCAAAUCCGUAUUUACUGUAAAGCAGUUAAUAAAGAGUCUGAACAGAUAUAUGCAGUAAGAGUCAGACCCAAACCGCUGAAACCACUGAAUGAACUUCCUGAAGACUUUAGCCUCGCUAGACGUGACAAUUGCAUAAUGCUUCCGGGUCUAGGUUUUCGAGCGAUUUGCGAUAAAUACAGUGUUUCUUCUGUGCUGUUGAUUAGGGCCAAUAAAGAUUGUAUCUUCAAAAAGGAACCAAAAAUCUUCAUUUGGAUACCAAAAUCUUGUUUACGGACGAGCAAUUUUUUUUCUUGACAUGCAAUAACCAAUUUUUAUAACAAUCAUUACUGGACCCAAGAGAACCAUGCUAUUACAGAGACACCUUUUCAGCAAUAAUAUUCAAUCCACGUUUAAAUCGGACACCUUAACGGACACUAUUAUUAUAAUUUUCUUGUCUUUUUUUUCGAAAAUUCAGAAUAUGAAAAAGUUACGGCAACAACUUUGGUUUCUGCAUGAUGGUGCUCCAGCGCACUUUAGCAUAUUGGCUUGUGAGCAUUAAAAUAGUCUACGAAAAUCAUUGAAUAGGCAUGGAGAACCAUAAUUUUGGCCACCUGGAUCACCUGACCUACAUUUUUAUUUGUGGAGAAACUGAAAACAUUGGUUUAUCAUACACCAAUUGUUACAUUAGAAGAACUAAAAAAUAGAAUUAUUGACGGAUGUGAAGCUAUAAGAAACACUCAUAGAAUUUUGGAAAGAGUUCGUAAUUCUAUAAGAGCAGAGUCCUACAUAGAGGCAAAGGGUGACCAUUUCCAACAUCUUUUGCAAAUUGUGUAAUAUUAUUGUAUUUAAUUAUUUUUUUUAUUUACUUUGUUUGUUAUACUAUUUUUCUUGUUAUUGUUAUAUCACUGUUUGUUUUACUUAUUUCUUUUUUUUUUGUUUAUGUACAGAGGUCUUUUAUGUUAAUAAUUAAUCGAUAAUUAUUACAAACACAUUUUUUUUCUCUG
rnacentral:misc_RNA from 1 species